rnacentral:rRNA from 1 species
UGAGGAAUAUUGGUCAAUGGGCGAGAGCCUGAACCAGCCAAGUAGCGUGCAGGAUGACGGCCCUAUGGGUUGUAAACUGCUUUUAUAAGGGAAUAAAGUGAGAGUCGUGACUCUUUUUGCAUGUACCUUAUGAAUAAGGACCGGCUAAUUCCGUGCCAGCAGCCGCGGUAAUACGGAAGGUCCGGGCGUUAUCCGGAUUUAUUGGGUUUAAAGGGAGCGUAGGCUGGAGAUUAAGCGUGUUGUGAAAUGCCGCGGCUCAACCGUGGCACUGCAGCGCGAACUGGGGGCUUGAGUGCACGCAACGCAGGCGGAAUUCGUGGUGUAGCGGUGAAAUGCUUAGAUAUCACGAAGAACUCCGAUUGCGAAGGCAGCUUGCGGGAGUGCGACUGACGCUGAAGCUCGAAGGUGC